rnacentral:misc_RNA from 1 species
AAGUCGUAACAAGGUUUCCGUAGGUGAACCUGCGGAAGGAUCAUUACUGAAUGAACUUGGUCGGGCUGAUGCUGGUCUCUCCUUGGAGGGGCAUGUGCACGCCUGGCACCAUCUUCUUUUACCACCUGUGCACCUUUUGUAGACUGUGGGGACUACCUUUCCGAGGUCAAACUCGGUUGAAAGGAUUGCUGAUGCCAGCUUUCCUUUGCCUGUCUUCUUGUCUAUGCCUUUUUUUUUUAUCACAAAUGUAUGACAAUGAAUGUUAUGUUGGGCAUUAUUGCCUUUAAAAACCUAAUACAACUUUCAACAACGGAUCUCUUGGCUCUCGCAUCGAUGAAGAACGCAGCGAAAUGCGAUAAGUAAUGUGAAUUGCAGAAUUCAGUGAAUCAUCGAAUCUUUGAACGCACCUUGCGCUCCUUGGUAUUCCGAGGAGCAUGCCUGUUUGAGUAUCAUGAAAUUCUCAACCUUGCUUUUGCAUCUGUGAAAUCAAGGUUGGAUUGUGGGGGACUUUUUUGCAGGCUUCAAAUCGAAGUCUGCUCUCCUGAAAUAUAUUAGCAGAGUUGCAUGAACAGCUUUUUAUUGGUGUGAUAAUCAUCUAUGCCAUGGGCUGUGAAAGCGAGUUUGCCUUCCAAUUUUAACAUCCGUUAUUCAUGACUUUUUGAUCUCAAAUCAGGUAGGACUACCCGCUGAACUUAAGCAUAUCAAUAAGCGGAGGAAAAGAAACUAACAAGGAUUCCCCUAGUAACUGCGAGUGAAGCGGGAAGAGCUCAAAUUUAAAAUCUGGCAAUCCUUGUGGUUGUCCGAGUUGUAAUCUAGAGAA